CCGGCACGGGUGAGUAACACGUAUGCAAUCCCCCUGUAACAGGGGGAGUAACCCGGAGAAAUCCGGACUAAUACCCAUAAUAUGGGCGCUCCGCAUGGAGAGCCCAUUAAAGAGAGCAAUUUUGGUUACAGACGAGCAUGCGCUCCAUUAGCCAGUUGGCGGGGUAACGGCCCACCAAAGCGACGAUGGAUAGGGGUUCUGAGAGGAAGGUCCCCCACAUUGGAACUGAGACACGGUCCAA
rnacentral:rRNA from 1 species